rnacentral:rRNA from 1 species
GGAGUCUGGUCCGUGUCUCAGUACCAGUGUGGGGGCUACCCUCUCAGGCCCCCUACCCAUCGUAGGAACGGUGGGCCGUUACCCCGCCGUCUUCCUAAUGGGACGCAUGCCCAUCCGCAUCCGCCGAAGCUAUCCAUCCAGAACCAUGCGAUCCCAAAUGACCACGGGGGAUUAAUCCGCCUUUCGGCGGGCUAUACCCCGGAUGCGGGCAGGUUGCAUACGCGUUACGCACCCGUGCGCCGGUCGCCGGCAAGGUAUUGCUACCUCCCGCUGCCCCUCGACUUGCAUGUGUUAGGCCUGCCGCUAGCGUUCAUC